AGCGAACGCUGGCGGCAGGCCUAACACAUGCAAGUCGAACGAACCUUUCGGGGUUAGUGUCGGACGGGUGAGUAACACGUGGGAACGUGCCUUUAGGUUCGGAAUAACUCAGGGAAACUUGUGCUAAUACCGAAUGGGCCCUUCGGGGGAAAGAUUUAUCGCCUUUAGAGCGGCCCGCGUCUGAUUAGCUAGUUGGUUGAGGUAAUGGCUCACCAAGGCGACGAUCAGUAGCUGGUCUGAGAGGAUGAUCAGCCACAUUGGGACUGAGACACGGCCGAAAAUCCUACGGGAGGCAGCAGUGGGGAAUCUUGCGCAAUGGGCGAAAGCCUGACGCAGCCAUGCCGCGUGAAUGAUGAAGGUCUUAGGAUUGUAAAAUUCUUUCACCGGGGACGAUAAUGACGGUACCCGGAGAAGAAGCCCCGGCUAACUUCGUG
rnacentral:rRNA from 1 species